UGAACGCUAGCUACAGGCUUAACACAUGCAAGUCGAGGGGCAGCAUUUUAGUUUGCUUGCAAACUGAAGAUGGCGACCGGCGCACGGGUGAGUAACACGUAUCCAACCUGCCGAUAACUCCGGAAUAGCCUUUCGAAAGAAAGAUUAAUACCGGAUAGCAUACGAAUAUCGCAUGAUAUUUUUAUUAAAGAAUUUCGGUUAUCGAUGGGGAUGCGUUCCAUUAGUUUGUUGGCGGGGUGACGGCCCACCAAGACAACGAUGGAUAGGGGUUCUGAGAGGAAGGUCCCCCACAUUGGAACUGAGACACGGUCCAAACUCCUACGGGAGGCAGCAGUGAGGAAUAUUGGUCAAUGGGCGAGAGCCUGAACCAGCCAAGUAGCGUGAAGGAUGAAGGCUCUAUGGGUCGUAAACUUCUUUUAUAUGGGAAUAAAGUUUUCCACGUGUGGAAUUUUGUAUGUACCAUAUGAAUAAGGAUCGGCUAACUCCGUGCCAGCAGCCGCGGUAAUACGGAGGAUCCGAGCGUUAUCCGGAUUUAUUGGGUUUAAAGGGAGCGUAGGUGGAUUGUUAAGUCAGUUGUGAAAGUUUGCGGCUCAACCGUAAAAUUGCAGUUGAAACUGGCAGUCUUGAGUACAGUAGAGGUGGGCGGAAUUCGUGGUGUAGCGGUGAAAUGCUUAGAUAUCACGAAGAACUCCGAUUGCGAAGGCAGCUCACUAGACUGUCACUGACACUGAUGCUCGAAAGUGUGGGUAUCAAACAGGAUUAGAUACCCUGGUAGUCCACACAGUAAACGAUGAAUACUCGCUGUUUGCGAUAUACAGUAAGCGGCCAAGCGAAAGCAUUAAGUAUUCCACCUGGGGAGUACGCCGGCAACGGUGAAACUCAAAGGAAUUGACGGGGGCCCGCACAAGCGGAGGAACAUGUGGUUUAAUUCGAUGAUACGCGAGGAACCUUACCCGGGCUUAAAUUGCAACAGAAUAUAUUGGAAACAGUAUAGCCGUAAGGCUGUUGUGAAGGUGCUGCAUGGUUGUCGUCAGCUCGUGCCGUGAGGUGUCGGCUUAAGUGCCAUAACGAGCGCAACCCUUAUCUUUAGUUACUAACAGGUGAUGCUGAGGACUCUAGAGAGACUGCCGUCGUAAGAUGUGAGGAAGGUGGGGAUGACGUCAAAUCAGCACGGCCCUUACGUCCGGGGCUACACACGUGUUACAAUGGGGGGUACAGAAGGCGGCUACCUGGUGACAGGAUGCUAAUCCCAAAAACCUCUCUCAGUUCGGAUCGAAGUCUGCAACCCGACUUCGUGAAGCUGGAUUCGCUAGUAAUCGCGCAUCAGCCAUGGCGCGGUGAAUACGUUCCCGGGCCUUGUACACACCGCCCGUCAAGCCAUGAAAGCCGGGGGUACCUGAAGUACGUAACCGCAAGGAGCGUCCUAGGGUAAAACUGG
rnacentral:rRNA from 1 species